rnacentral:tRNA from 1 species
UUUAAACCCUAAAUAUGAAUAUAAUUCUCAUAUUA